UACGUAGGGGGCAAGCGUUGUCCGGAUUUAUUGGGCGUAAAGAGCGUGUAGGCGGCCAUGUAGGUCCGUUGUGAAAACUCGAGGCUCAACCUCGAGACGCCGAUGGAAACCAUGUGGCUAGAGUCCGGAAGAGGAGAGUGGAAUUCCUGGUGUAGCGGUGAAAUGCGCAGAUAUCAGGAAGAACACCCGUGGCUAAGGCGGCUCUCUAGUACGGUACUGACGCUGAGACGCGAAAGCGUGGGAGCAAACAGG
rnacentral:rRNA from 1 species